rnacentral:lncRNA from 1 species
GUAAAUAUUAUGUGGAUGGUCCACAUGAAUAGUUUGUUACUAUUUAUGCACAGUAUUUUCACUAUUCAUUUGUGGAAAAUUUGUAAAGUGAAUAGUGCUUUCUUUUGUUUAUAUAAAGGAAGAAUAGAUAGAUGAAUGUGAGGAGUUCACGGGAAAGAAAGAGAGGAAGGAAGGAAGAGGAAGAGAGAAAAUAGAGGAAGAUAAGAGGAGAUAAUAGAGAGAGUUAUCUUUGUACUCCUAUUAUUUCAAAUUAUAAUGAAAGCACCACUGCUGCCCCGAGGACGUACUCCAGUCACACUGACUGUAGAGGAACCUCGUAAAUUUUGUGUCUUGUUUCAUUUAUUCCACUGCACCCUCAGUCGAUUUUACAACACGUUAUCAGCACGAGAAGCUCUCAUGUCAGUGGAAAGCACAACGCCACAAAUCCUGUUCACCUCCUUCAGCUGGAAUCUCACAGAUAAGAAACAAUUUUCAUUUCAUCUUCAAAUCUCAGUACAAUUGAUUUACUUGAAGCAACUAUAUAUAUUGUUGUAUGACUGUAUAUCAUCAUUUGCAGAAGCAAAAGAGUACAUACUCAAAAUUCGUAAAGAAUUUGACAGCCAUGUAAAUAGCCUCGGAACUCUAACUUGCGGACCUCGGAUUGAAAUACUUUCUUCUUGAAAGUUGUUCGUCUGCUCAGUAUCUACAACAUAUCAAAAUUUCAGAAAAUGUUAACGGUGCGAUCGUGGCAGAUGUCUGAAAUACCAAACCAGUUUCCAAUUUCCGCAGAAAACUGGGCAGCCACCUUAUGAGUACCAAAACGCCAUUUCGAUAGCUCAAAUCGAAAUUGUUUCUUCACGAAAGUUGUUUGGUAUCCUCUUAUCCAUAUCAUACUAAAUUUUGAAUUAAAACUAACGGUUAGAUCUUCUCAUAAGUUGCAGACACUCUUGACUCCAAAACUUAUGGGAACCGUUUCGACUUUUCGAAACUCACCGGAGGAGGAACACCAAUUGGAACUUAUUGUUACUAUUAUUUACUGAGUAACCAAAAUGACUUCGAACUGUGAAAUAAUAAUAAAAAUAAAAGGGAUGAAACAAAAGAAGUGGCAGACCAAGAAAAUGAAAAAGCAAAACAUGAGGACUUAAUCAUUGUAUUUUCUGUUUUGGCAUAUUUAUGUGCAUGGUGUUGGUUUAAAGCCCAUGUCACAAGUUCUAUUUAUUUAAAGCAAUUUAUUUAUAGUGGGUAGAAUUAUUACCCUUUGCUUUAAAGCUUUGAUAUUUAUGUGAAUGGUGCUGAAUCAAAGCCCUUGUCACAAGCUUUAUUUACUUUAAAGCAAUUUAUUUACCAUGGACGGUUUUACCGCCUAUUGCUUUAAGUUUUGAUGGUGCUGAAUUAAAGCCCUUGUCACAAACUUUAUUUACUUAAAUGCAAUUUAUUCAUUAUGGCUGGAAUUACCGUCUAUUGCUUUAAUUUAUUUAUUGUACUUAUCUUUUGUUACUAUGAGUAUAUACAGGACCUGAAGUUCCUUGAUCAGAUCAGAACCUGCAGUUUCUUGAUCCUCAUCAUAUAAAAUGAUUGGACCCGAAGUUCCAUCAUACAAAAGGAUCUGGCAUGAAGUCCCUUGAUCCUGAAGAUCAGGACAUGAAGUUCCUAGAUGAGUACCGUAAGUUUGAAGUGCCGCAGUGCCUUAACUUAAUUGUAAUAAAACCCAUAAGAGUCUCAGUUUAUAGACUAUUAAAUAAGGACCAGAAGUUCCUUAUGUCCAUACUCAAAAUGGUUUAGCAGAAGCCUUUAUUAAGCGAAUGAAAUUGAUUUCUCGUGCUCUGCUCAUGAAAACGAAAUUGCCAAUUUUCUACAUGGGGACAUGUAAACUUUACAUGAUGCAUUAUUAAUUCGGUUGAGACAUGUUACCGACCAUCAAUACUUCUCAGUACAACUCGGGUUUGGAACCAACCAAACAUUAUACAUUUACGAGUUUUUUGUUGUGUUGUCUAUGUGCCUGUAAGACUACCACAACGUACUGAAAUGAGGCAUCAUUGCAGAUUAGGCAUUGAUGUUGAAUACCAUCUAUCAUUCAAUAUUUGGAAUUCUUGAUUGGGGAUAUGUUUACCGCAUGGUUUGCAUACUGUCAUUUUGAUAAGACAAUUUUCCUGCCAUUAGGGGGAGAAAAUAAUAUCGUUCCAGAAGAACGAUGAGAAAAUAUCAUUCCAAAAGAAUGAUGAGAAAAGACCGUUCCAGAAGAACGAAGAGAAUUUGUCUUAUUUUGAUUCACGAAGCAAUCAAUGAGAAAAUGAAAUAUGAAUAAUUGAAUGAUGCAACGAAAGUGAUGAAAUCAUAUAUACUUACUGCAAAUGUGCCUACAAGAAUUGAUGUCUCAGUUGGAUAAAAUAAUGAGACAGUAAAUGAUUUAUCUGUUGCACGCCUGAAGCAUGGCAGAUUUUUAGACUCAAAAGGUUCAGUUAUUCGAAAGAAGAAUAAUAUGGCACUACUGAACUAUUGCAUUCCCGAAGCAUAACUGUUGCAUGCCAGAAGCAUGACAGUCACCGCAUGGAUACACGUCCCAGAUAGGACAAUCCACAGACAUGGGAAUGUUGAUGUCUCAUACAUGAAGCAUAAUAGACAUAUAGGUUCCAAUGACUCAACUCCCGGAAGUGGAGAUUAAAAUCCAAGCUCUAUAACACUCAAGAGGAGGUUAUGAUCCACAUUCUCUCAAUUAUGACUAUCCUGGAAGAGAUAGCGUCAUGCCCUUGAAGAGGCAAUGGAUAUCCAAAGAAAUGAAAAGCUUUUAUGCAUGCGCAUGCACAUGAGAAUAUGGGAUCACGGAUUGAUGAUAACCAAUGGUAAUUUUGGUUUUUACAAGUAGCUACUAAAUUCAUCAAUGAGCUGUGUUAAUAUUGAGUCACGUUCUUUUGUUCGUCGACAAAAGAAAAAAUUAUUGGCCAAAAUGGAGAAAGGCAAUUCCAUUACAAAUUUUUGUAAGAACGUGGGCAAAUGAACCUAUAUAUAUUUGAAUACAAUACAAAUAGCCAAAGAAUGUUAAACCAAGGAGGUUAUAUAUGGGCAUUUGUAAUAUAGUGUAAUACACUUACAUGAUAUGACACAAGGUUGUAAACAAGUUCAUAUGAAUGGAGAAUUAUAUACGAAGGGUUGUGAGUCGCCCACAUUAUAUUUCCAUAAGUAAAUCCCUCAAGUAUACAUGGGAGCAAAUUGCUCUGUAUAAAUUCCAAAGGAAAAUGUGUCAUGAAGUGUAGAAAACCCUUGAAGGAUUCAAAUUGCUUGAAGUAAGCCUCUGAAGGGUAAAACAUAAAAUAUGUACUCAAUACCAAUGGAUGAUAUAAAUUGCCUUAGUGAGUACUAUCAUUAUGAUAUUGUUGCAACAUACUAAAAUCUCUUGCAAGAGUCAAUAACAUUAAAUUAUAACUCUUGAAGAGUUGAUGAUAUUAAAUUGGGACUCCUGAAGAGUCUAGAAAAAAUUAUAAAGUGUUGAAGGAAUUAUUGUCUCGAGCUGCAGAUCGAACAAUCUACCAACACGAAUCUUAUCCAUGAUAUUUAUGAUAUUAAAAGAACCAUAUGGUUUGAAGAUUAUGAGUUGAAUACUCAUAUGAUGAAGACACUAAGAAUAAUCAUUUAUCUUCGUGAGGGUAAAGAUAAAUUAAUAUUUGGUCCAGAAGUACCACAUCUUAGUGAAGUAUAUGCUUUAUUGUAUUUGGCACAAUACAUUGAAUGAAAUAAAGCUUAUUUAUUAAUAUCUCCAAGAAAUUACAGAUAUAUACAUACACAUGAGUUAAAAACAAACAAACAGGAUGGAGCCUUCACAAAGGUUGCUCAUGUGAAGCCUCAGUACUCGGAAGUACCCCAGAAGGGGGAGGCACUGGAGAUUGAUCAUGUGGCACCCCAGUACUUAGCAAAACACCAGAAGGGGAAGGCAUCAGUUGCUUUCGGAAUCUAGCAACGAACCUCUGGUGAUCACUUUGAAUCCGACUUUCGGAUUCCUGCAGUUGGACGAGCUUUCUUUUCAUGCUCGUAGAGUAACUAUUUGCAAGCACGUGUAACACCCUAUUCUCGUGCUUAAGCCCUCUGAUCUCUUGUUUAAGACUUGCCACUUCCGCCAUCAAUGAUUCAACUUGGCGAGUUUGAGCAAGUAGGCGUUGGCCCAUAUUGGACACUGAGCCAGCACACUGAACACUGAGAGCCAAUGAGUCUUGAACGGCCGACUCUUCAGACCGUUCUGAAAGGAUCUUGUUAUCCCUUGGAGUGAGAAGAUUCCUAGCUACCACAGUAGCGGUUAUGUUAUUCUUCAUCAUAGAGUCCCCAACCGUAAGAGGACCAUUAGAAGAUAAGAAGGACGGGCGCCAUAUAUUAUCCUGACGCUGCUCGUCUGUAUCACUCCUAAGACUCAAAUCUAAGCAAAUGUUAGAUGGGCAAGUCAUUUUUCAGAAAUGAUGAAGGAAAAACAGAGGUCAAAUAAAAUUUCAAAGGUGCAAGAUAGGGGAAAUUUCUACAAGCAGCAACUUUCUGAGCAUACUCUUGAACACAAUUGAUGUCUCUAUAAAAGAAGAGAGGCAGCAGAGCCACUUGUUCAAAGAUCGAUGAGGCACCGCUCUCCGAAUUUCAAAAGCCAGAUUUUCCUGAAUAAAAUUCGUUGGCAUUUUUCAGACGUAAUCUCAGCUUUUCAGAUAUCGCGUGCAACUUUGUCAAAGAUCUCUGACAAAGUUGAAAACGCGUAAAUCUUACUGUUCUAUUUACACCACAGUUGCUGACAAGAGUAAAAGCACAGCACCACCACUUGCUAUUGAGAAAUCUCUAUAUAUGUCGACAUCUGUUCUCCAUAACAAGGCAGACUCGCAACACUGCAAGAAUACCUAACUCUUCCUCAUCUCCGAGAAUGCAUCUUCAACAUAGCAUCUCGAAAUACUCAGUUUUCUUCCUCUCCGAGAAUACAUCUUCAAACAUGUCACACCAGAGCAAGAUUAUCACAUAUCUUCAGGGACCAGAGCAAGAUUAUCUCAUAUCAUGCAAUCUCCCUGUCCUUUCCUUUGUCCAUGUUCUUGCCUGCAAAGACAAGGAUAAGGAAAGCAAUAUGUCGGAACCUCCACUCAAACUCCCGGUAAGGAACCGAUUGCCUGGAACCUUUCCUGAUUGCUUACCUAGUAUUGCUCUCGAGUAGUCAUCUUCAACGGUUGGAGUUGGGUGUCCAGUCACCAAGAAGUGAUGAACCAUCCAAAUGCAAGGGUUUGCAUUCCACUUCUGCACCAGGGGACAAAAUCCUACAAGAGAAGAUGCCACAUAUGCAUGGGGGGAAAGCAGUGAAAAUACUACUUAAGCAAGGGGAGCAAGUAAGGAAAGUGAAAAAUGAUACAUUGGAGCAUGUGGAGACAAGCGCAACCAACACGUGCUGAUUCAUCCCCGACAAAGUCGAAGAAGCUCUUCACGGUACAAUUUCAUUCAAGAUCAAGCCCCGAAGUCCUUGAAGAAAUCACAAGUCCGAUUCAAGAUCAAGUGUCCACCACUUUUGAAUCAAAUUCCGCUCAAGAUAAAAGGAGUAAAUUCCGAUCUUCGAUGCUAGUCUAGCAGAAAGUCCUACAACCCAGUUCAAGAAAAAGGCUGUGGAAAGUUAACAAUAAGUAAAGCAACUCUUUUAGCAACUCUUCUUACUAAGAGACUAAAGCAGAACAAUCAACGAUCAACCUAAAUGAUUUGAAAUCAGGGGGAGAUACUCAUCAGGGGGAGCAUCCAAGACAGAUCAAGAUUUUAACGAGUCAAUCGAAGACUUGUGGCCAUCCAAGGGGGAGUGUUGUAAAUAUUAUGUGGAUGGUCCACAUGAAUAGUUUGUUACUAUUUAUGCACAGUAUUUUCACUAUUCAUUUGUGGAAAAUUUGUAAAGUGAAUAGUGCUUUCUUUUGUUUAUAUAAAGGAAGAAUAGAUAGAUGAAUGUGAGGAGUUCACGGGAAAGAAAGAGAGGAAGGAAGGAAGAGGAAGAGAGAAAAUAGAGGAAGAUAAGAGGAGAUAAUAGAGAGAGUUAUCUUUGUACUCCUAUUAUUUCAAAUUAUAAUGAAAGCACCACUGCUGCCCCGAGGACGUACUCCAGUCACACUGACUGUAGAGGAACCUCGUAAAUUUUGUGUCUUGUUUCAUUUAUUCCACUGCACCCUCAGUCGAUUUUACAAC